GCAUACUGACAUGUCAUG
rnacentral:siRNA from 1 species